UACGUAGGCAGCGAGCGUUGUUCGGAAUUACUGGGCGUAAAGAGUGUGUAGGCGGUGCUCUAAGUUCGGUGUGAAAUCUCCUGGCUCAACUGGGAGGGUGCGCCGGAAACUGGAGUGCUUGAGCGUGGGAGAGGAAAGCGGAAUUUCCGGUGUAGCGGUGAAAUGCGUAGAGAUCGGAAAGAACACCAACGGCGAAAGCACUCUGCUGGGCCGACACUGACACUGAGAGACGAAAGCUAGGGGAGCGAAUGGG
rnacentral:rRNA from 1 species